UACGUAGGGAGCAAGCGUUGUCCGGAAUUAUUGGGCGUAAAGAGCUCGUAGGCGGUUUGUCGCGUCUGCUGUGAAAACCCGAGGCUCAACCUCGGGCCUGCAGUGGGGUACGGGCAGACUAGAGUGCGGUAGGGGAGAUUGGAAUUCCUGGUGUAGCGGUGGAAUGCGCAGAUAUCAGGAGGAACACCAAUGGCGAAGGCAGAUCUCUGGGCCGUAACUGACGCUGAGGAGCGAAAGCAUGGGGAGCGAACAGG
rnacentral:rRNA from 1 species